rnacentral:rRNA from 1 species
AAACGACAUCGAAAGCUUGCUUUUGAUGGGCGUCGACCGGCGCACGGGUGAGUAACGCGUAUCCAACCUGCCCACCACUUGGGGAUAACCUUGCGAAAGUAAGACUAAUACCCAAUGACGUCUCUAGAAGACAUCUGAAGGAGAUUAAAGAUUUAUCGGUGAUGGAUGGGGAUGCGUCUGAUUAGCUUGUUGGCGGGGUAACGGCCCACCAAGGCUACGAUCAGUAGGGGUUCUGAGAGGAAGGUCCCCCACAUUGGAACUGAGACACGGUCCAAACUCCUACGGGAGGCAGCAGUGAGGAAUAUUGGUCAAUGGACGAGAGUCUGAACCAGCCAAGUAGCGUGCAGGAUGACGGCCCUAUGGGUUGUAAACUGCUUUUAUAAGGGAAUAAAGUGAGUCUCGUGAGACUUUUUGCAUGUACCUUAUGAAUAAGGACCGGCUAAUUCCGUGCCAGCAGCCGCGGUAAUACGGAAGGUCCGGGCGUUAUCCGGAUUUAUUGGGUUUAAAGGGAGCGUAGGCCGGAGAUUAAGCGUGUUGUGAAAUGUAGAUGCUCAACAUCUGCACUGCAGCGCGAACUGGUUUCCUUGAGUACGCACAAAGUGGGCGGAAUUCGUGGUGUAGCGGUGAAAUGCUUAGAUAUCACGAAGAACUCCGAUUGCGAAGGCAGCUCACUGGAGCGCAACUGACGCUGAAGCUCGAAAGUGCGGGUAUCGAACAGGAUUAGAUACCCUGGUAGUCCGCACGGUAAACGAUGGAUGCCCGCUGUUGGUCUGAAUAGGUCAGCGGCC